GGUCAAGCUACUAAGGGCGCACGGGGGAUGCCUUGGCGCCAAGAGCCGAUGAAGGGCGCGGCGAGACUGCGAAAAGCCUCGGUGAGCUGUCGGGCAAGCUGAACCGGGGAUUCCCGAAUGGGGCAACCCACCCAGGUAAAACCUGGGUACUCACAGCUGAACACAUAGGCUGUGGAGAGGCAAGCGGGGGAACUGAAACAUCUAAGUACCCCGAGGAAAAGAGAUUAUUCCCUGAGUAGUGGCGAACGAAAGGGGAAAAGCCUAAACCCUGGUAACUAAGUGGACUCGGAUCCUAAGUUGCCGGGGGGUUGUAAGACAUGGUCUGGAAAGGGUUCGAGACCUUUCCGGGAGUUACAAACCGUAACCCUAGCUGAAAGUCUCUGGAACGAGCUACCGAAGAGGGUGAGAGUCCUGUAAGCAAAAGGGGAAGGCUCCCGGCCAUGAUCUUGAGUACCACGGGACACGUGGAAUCCUGUGGGAAGCAGGGGUGACCACACCCCAAGGCUAAAUACUCUUGGCGACCGAUAGUGAACAAGUACCGUGAGGGAAAGGUGAAAAGAACCCCGGGAGGGG
rnacentral:rRNA from 1 species